rnacentral:tRNA from 1 species
GUUUCCGUAGUGUAGUGGUUAUCACGUUUGCCUCACACGCAAAAGGUCCCCAGUUUAAAACUGGGUGGAAACA